rnacentral:sRNA from 1 species
AAGGGGGGGGGGGUACAUAGGAAUAGAGAAAAAUCUUCUUACAGGUACAACAACAAAGGGGCUUGUUAUUUUACAAAAAAAAAAGAGGUGGAUAAAGAUUGGCAGAUUUUCAAUUUUUUUUAGCAAGAUCUACUGUACUUAGUUGUCAAGAUAUUUUGAAACUGUAAUGCUAAUUUGAUCAGAAUUAAGGCAAUUGUUGCUCAGGUGAGCGAUGUGGCCCCUGGGCCUCUUGUUUUUCAAUCUUGUCUAAUUUUAAAAUAAGAGGGCAAUAGCUGUAAUAAUUGAUGCAAUUUGUUUUUUACACUUGAACAUCUAAUUUAGUAUCAAGUAUCUGUGUAUGAAUAUCGAAAGGGAUAAUAAAUUUUACAUAGCUGGUAUUGGACCAAGCUGUAAAUUCAUGACCCCCCCUUUCCCCCUUGUUCAGGAAUUUGGGUGCUAUGAUUCGGUACAUAUUGCAAUCAUAUUGUAUAAGCAUUUAUUUCUUUAAUUGAAUAUUUCUUUCUGCAUUUUGUUUUAUCUCAAUUAAAUUGUAUAUUGGACUAUUUAUUACAUGUUGUGUGAAGUGAAUGAAUUAUUGAUAAAUCCACCCUCUCCCACCAAAGCAAAUACAUGCAACUUGUUGAAUUGCGAAAAAAUUAUCAGAAGAUCUUGAAAACUCUGAUAAUCUUCACAUAAACCAAUUCAGGGGUCAUAUUUCACUCCAUUUCUGCAGAGCUUAAUCAAUAUUCCAUUAAAUCUCAUCCAUGCAGGGUUGUUUUCAACUGACAGCUAAUUCAGGCCCUUAGGUCUCUUUAUAUACAUGUAAUUAUGUUAACUGUUGAAAAUGAUGAGUCUAAUUUUCAGUAAUACUAUAUAAAUUUGUUGAAACAU